rnacentral:rRNA from 1 species
UGGGGAAUAUUGCACAAUGGGGGAAACCCUGAUGCAGCGACGCCGCGUGAACGAAGAAGGUCUUCGUAUCGUAAAGUUCUGCCCUAUGGGAAGAUAAUGACAGUACCAUAGAAGAAAGCUCCGGCUAAAUACGUGCCAGCAGCCGCGGUAAUACGUAUGGAGCGAGCGUUGUCCGGAAUUAUUGGGCGUAAAGGGUACGCAGGCGGUUUAAUAAGUCGAAUGUUAAAGAUCGGGGCUCAACCCCGUAAAGCAUUGGAAACUGAUAAACUUGAGUAGUGGAGAGGAAAGUGGAAUUCCUAGUGUAGUGGUGAAAUACGUAGAUAUUAGGAGGAAUACCAGUAGCGAAGGCGACUUUCUGGACACAAACUGACGCUGAGGUACGAAAGCGGGGGGAGCAAACAGG